rnacentral:lncRNA from 1 species
GGGACUCGGGGAUGACAGCCUGUUUGCUUAACACGCUUUUUAGAAGACAUGCUUGCAAGCUAUUAGUUAGCUUCCUUCUUCCCUCCCUGUCCCCACCACCCUAACCGCUCCUCACACUGUAAUUUGGCAGCGGCUGCUUGCAGGCCUGCUGUGCGCUUGGUCCCUGACUGACUCAGAUGCAGAUGGCAGCAGAGGCAGCCACAGGAAGUGGGAUGCAGCCUGUCACCUCUGAGACUGGCUUGUGCUUGUCAACCUCGCUGUGGACCCUGUGAGGCUACAGAUCAGGACUGACUGCAUCAGAAUGGCGGUUCAAAAUGGCUGAAUAACCUCCCUACCACAGUUGGGAAGACAAGAAAUUGUGCCCACGCAGCCAUCAAGCAGUCCAAUUAUAUUUUUUCACUUCAUUCCGCAAAAAUAAGAAAAAGAAAGAAAAAGAAAGAAAAAAAGCCAGCCAGCCUUGAGCUGUCUUGAAAACUCUUUGAAGUGUAGAUUUUGCGUUAAAGCUACAUCUUGUAGCUGUAGGAUGGGGCAGUGGGAAGAGAAAGGAGUGAGGAAGGGUACCAGAAGUUUGGCAAAAUGGGAUCAGGUGACCAUCUGUUUGACUGCAAGACACGAGAAAAAAGGCUAAGCCAUAAGAGUUAGUGACACAUGAGAGAAGAGGGGAGGAAUUGCCUGGAACAGCAACGUCCACAGCAGACCCCCAGGUCCAUCAGGAAAGUGAAGAGCUAGACAUCAGAUGUCACUGUGGAUAGAAGGAGACACAGAGUCCUGAGCUGAGGUCUCCAAAUGACAAGUUAAUAGGAUCUGGGAGUUGCUAAGUGGGAAUAAGCAGCUAUGCUGUAAAACCCUAAAGUAUGGUGUUGACUUGUGACAUGAUGCCUUUAUGCUUCCCCUGAAGAGUUCCACAGUUAUGUGUUCCCUCCUCUGUGGUUCCAUAGUACCUUCAUUAUAUUCUCUUAUAGCAAUACAAAUUGUGAUGGUGACUCUCAUUCCUUGAGUGCCUACUAUGUGCCAGAAGCCACACUGAAACUAUUCUAUUCCAUUACACUAACCAUGGAAAAUGGGCAUUUUAUUCUCCAUUUUUCUGACGAAGAAACUGAGGCUAAAAGAAUGAAGCUGUUCAAGUUCAUGUAGUGUUUUGCUGUUUUUUUGUCUCUUUGGAUUGUGAGUUCUGUCUCAAUAGGGAUCAUUCUACAUUGUGAGUUCUAUAUCAAUAGGGAUCAUCAUAUUCUCCCCUGUAACCCCAGUAGCACAGUGAAGAGGACAAGAGAUUCACUAGGUGCUCACUAAAUGUUUGCUGAAUGAAUAAACUAAUGAAAACAUGAAUCAGUACUAUGAAAUCAUUAACUGUUAUAGUAAACACUUGCCAUCUCACAAAGACUUUUUAAAGAGCAAUCCCUUCUGGGAUUGAGGGGUUGGUUGAUUUUCUCUAAUGCAAAAAUCCUCAAACUGUGAAUAAUCUCUUCAUAUUUUGCAAAGGAUUUGGCAUGCAAAAGCGAGCCCUGUAUCUUCUCUCCAGUGGCUUUCAGGUUUCAUAGUAGUAAAAGGGUAGGAGCAGAGACAAGUGAUGCUGAUUAAGCUUCUUGAUUUUUGUCUUCAAGUCUGACCUGGGCUUACCCUCCUUCUCGUGCUGACAGAGGUCUCUUUUUGAGGCCUCAACUUUGGCUGCAGUGGAGAGGAGGGCUGUAGAAUUGCAUGAUUCUCUAACACUUGCAUUAUGUGUUGUGGGAAAGUACUCAUCUUUGGUAUUCUACAUCUGCAGCUUCUUUGCUUUGAAUAAAUAUAGCAUAGAUGGAUGUAUAAUAUAUGCAAAGUUAUGCCAAAUAUAGUCAAUCCUCCUAAAUGAGUCACUGGGGUCACACAGACAACUUACCCUUUGCAGUUUUCCACUGAGUGCCCCUGGUCACCUAAUAGGAGAGAUCAACAAGGGUCAAUGUGGCUUUUUUGGGGGGGUGGGGGAGGAUUUGCCUGAAUGCCAGAGUGCAACCCAAAUUCUCAAAUUAUGUGUCAUAUCCCAGUGGGAGGCCAUAGCAUUCUAUUCAAUGGACAUUGACUGCUUACUUCGGGCCAAGCUGGGUGCUGGGGGUCCUUGGCCAAGAUUUGAAGAGUCCUAUGGUGAGAUGUCUCUGGCAGAUAGAGGCCAAGGCAGGUAGCAGGGAGGUGAAAAGCUUUUUAGAAGUGACAUCUCUUAGCAGAGAAAGUAUGGAGGAGGGUAGCACUGGGAUGGGAGGGACCUGGGAUUCGGAGAGGCUAAAUAACUCACCCCAAGUCAUAGAGCUAAUAAGGGGCAGAACUGGGACUGAAACCUUUGUUGCUCUAAAAGACAGUAUUAAAACGCUUAGUGACAAAGAACAUGGGCUGUGGAUUUGUAAGACCUGACCUGACUCUUAUCAGCUAGUGACCUUGGGCAUGUUAUGCAACUUCUUUGAGUCAGAGUUUUUUCAGCUUCUCUUGGUGCUGCUACUUCUGAGGGUGGCUAUAAGUGGGGAAUGAGGUCACUUUGGUAACAUACUGAUUACCUUGCUGGGUAUCUAGUGAGCACCAAAUAAAUGGUAGCUGUUAGAGUCUGCUG